rnacentral:rRNA from 1 species
AGCAGUCGCGGUAAUUCCAGCUCCAAUAGCGUAUAUUAAAGUUGUUGCAGUUAAAAAGCUCGUAGUUGAAUUUCGGGGUCAGUAAGUUGGUCGUGCCACUGGUAUGUACUGGCUUUACUGAUUCCUCCUUCUUGUAGAACCGUAAUGCCAUUAAGUUGGUGUUGCGGGAAAACAGGACUGUUACUUUGAAAAAAUUAGAGUGUUUAAAGCAAGCUAACGCUUGAAUACAUUAGCAUGGAAUAAUGAAAUAGGACGAACGAUCCUAUUUUGUUGGUUUCUAGGAUUGACGUAAUGAUUAAUAGGGAUAGUUGGGGGCAUUAGUAUUCAAUUGUCAGAGGUGAAAUUCUUGGAUUUAUUGAAGACUAACUACUGCGAAAGCAUUUGCCAAGGAUGUUUUCAUUAAUCAAGAACGAAAGUUAGGGGAUCGAAGACGAUCAGAUACCGUCGUAGUCUUAACCAUAAACUAUGCCGACUAGGGAUCGGAUGAUGUUAAUUUUUUCAAUGACUCAUUCGGCGCCUU